GGUUCGGUUUGAACCGAAUGCUCAGCCCUAUGGGAUUGCAUACAGUUUCGAUCCUGGAGUUUCCAAUUCGGUUCAAAGGUGAUUCCGUUCGAUUCUGGAUGCCAAGUGGCACGUCUCCAAUGUGCCAUUUUUUUUCAAUUUUCUAGUUCAAAAUAGACCAACCAAUGGUUCCAUUCUGGUCCAAUUCAAGGUUCAAAGAACCCCCAAAUUAGGACCGGCCCUACAAUACCACAGGUUUGGUCCCGCUAAUCAUUGACCGAUUAAGAUUGCAGUUUUAACCGGUCCGGCUCCAAUUCCAACAUGGAUUUAAAUCAUGGUCGCAGUUGCAUUCGAGAGUAAUAAAAACAGGCCUAUAAUAGCCGUAAUAUAACAUUAACAGCCUAUCGCUACACAAAUUUUUUUUGAAAAAUUUGCACAGGCCUAUUUCCUUUAUCCACUACUGCAAUUUAAAUCCACGUGUGAUACAAUUAUAUCCUAGGUGUGAUAUCUAUCAAAUCAAACUUUAGGUGCGAAGCCUAAAUUCUUUGUUGUUACUGUUCAUGGGUUACUAUUCACAGCACUCUUCAAAGUGUGUAAACUGACUUGAAAUCUGUCCUACUUUAACUUCAUGAGAAUACUGUGCCUUCACCACAUAACAGAUGUUUAUAUAAAAGGUCACUCGUGAAACAAUCAUAACAAAGACAAUAAAUUUAGGACAA
rnacentral:misc_RNA from 1 species